CAGGGAGACAACAAAAUGUUUAAUAUUAUUAUUUUGUCACCUUAGGUCGAUCGGUACCUCACGUUCUUUAAAUUAUUAAGAAUUUCAUUUCCUAAGUUUUUCUAGGUCACACCCAUUAUUUUUCCUGGGCCAUUAGCUCAGGUGGUUAGAGCGCACCCCUGAUAAGGGUGAGGUCCCUGGUUCAAGUCCAGGAUGGCCCAUAUCUCUAUGUUGGGGGUAUAGCUCAGUUGGUAGAGCGCCUGCUUUGCAAGCAGGAUGUCAGCGGUUCGAGUCCGCUUACCUCCACUGAUUACCACCUCUUCCAUAAUCUGUAGAAAGGAAAAUUUUUGAGUUGUGAUCAAAAUUCUGAACGAAUCUAGCUUCCUAAUGAACCCAUUAAGAUGCUGGACUCAUUGAAUUAAUUUCAUUGUUUUCAGAGAACCUUGACAACUGCAUAGAUUAUUUUUAAAGACAAUAAGCAUCUUUAAUGAUGCAGAUUUAUUAUUUGUGCGAAUGCAUUAAUAACAAUUCUAUUAAGCUGAUGCUUCAAUUUUGAAGUUAUU
rnacentral:tRNA from 1 species